UACGUAGGUGGCAAGCGUUGUCCGGAUUUAUUGGGUUUAAAGGGUGCGUAGGCGGCCUUAUAAGUCAGUGCUGAAAUAUCCCGGCUUAACCGGGAGGGUGGCAUUGAUACUGUAGGGCUUGAGUCGAGUUGAGGUUGGCGGAAUUGACGGUGUAGCGGUGAAAUGCUUGGAUAUCGUCAAGAACACCGAUAGUGAAGACAGCUAACUAAGCUCAAACUGACGCUGAGGCACGAAAGUGUGGGGAUCAAACAGG
rnacentral:rRNA from 1 species